UAAAGAUGUUUGUAGUUUGCAGAAUGGAAAGAACCUUGCAGCGAAAAUUAUUUUCACUUCUACGUGAAAAUCUAACCAGAAAACUCACCUGUCAAUUACAAGAUACAGUAUGCCAUUCCAGCUUUGAUAAAUAUAAAGUAAUGGUUUGAAUUUGGAGAGCUUUAUUAUUAUAGACAGGGAUGAUGACCUGCAGUGAGACAGCAGUAGAAAGUUACUUAUAACUCAUCAUGGCCAUUAUGGAAGAUCUGAUUAAAAUUUGUUUAGAAAGCCACCAAAUAUGUCCAUGAAAAGUAGAAAAAAGACAGCAAUUCUACAUAAUGUACUAAGCAGAAGCAUUGACUGUUUCAAGACCAAAUGAAUUGGAAUUUAGUGUUUUGAUGCUGAGAGACAGAGGAAUAUUAACUGGACAAUUUAGCUUCUUUUUCAUCAUCAUUGAAGUUGAUGUUUACCAUCUUAAAGAGCUUUAACCUCAGUUAAAAUGAAUUCUAAAUAUAGGCAGUUUGGAGAUUUGUGAAUUUUCUUACAAUUGGAGUUUCAAAAAAGGAUUUCAUUUAAAAAAAAAUGUAUUUCACUGAUGUAAUUUGUCGUCUCUUUCAUGAAAUAUUUGAAAAAUCUGCAAUAUCUAACCAAGUGAGAGAUCUACAGAUCAUUUGCAGAUAGACAUAUAUAUGAUAUUCAGUUGAACUGUAAAGAAGGAAAUAUUCAUUUAUAAGACUUA